AGGCUGCAAAAGAGGGGCACCAGGGAAAGCUUUUCCUGCCAUUCACCCCUGCAGGAUCCUGGCCAGGCGAGUAGCUGUGUGACCCUGGGUUGAGUCAUCCCCAUUUUACAGAGGGAAAACUGAGACUCCGGAGGUUUGCGACAUGGCCUGCUAACAGGCAGAGCCGGGAUUCAAAUCAAGAUCUCACUCCAGUGAGUGAAUGGGAACAGGAUGCAGAUGGUAGACACUGAACACGAAGAAGAAAGCACUGAGGCUGGGAUGAAGAAAGACUUGCUGGCCUUUGAAGGACACUGCAUAACGAAGAAAUUAGAUCCUUGACAAUAUCCCUCGGCAAAUGUUGUGAAGACAGACCUGUCGUGCGAUUUUUGUCAGGUGCUCCAGGAAGAUUACAACAGUCUGUACUCUUUACCAAUAAGGCGUGAAGGUGCCCAUUUCACCACGUUUUUGCCAUCACAGCUUAUUAAUUUUUAAAUUUUGUUGCUACUCUGGUAGGUACAAAAAAGAUUCCUAUGAUAGUUUUAACUAUUCUCAAGCCUUCGAGCAAUUUUUUUUUUUUUUUUUUUGAAUACAGGGUCUCGCUCUGUCACCCAGGCUGGA